AAUGCACCAAUUUGUAAGUCGCUCUGGAUAAGAGCGUCUGCUAAAUGACUCAAA
rfam:Salmo salar isolate Sally breed double haploid chromosome ssa17, whole genome shotgun sequence.